GACGAACGCUGGCGGCGUGCUUAACACAUGCAAGUCGAACGGAAAGGCCCUGCUUUUGUGGCGUGCUCGAGUGGCGAACGGGUGAGUAACACGUGUGUAACCUGCCCUUGACUUUGGGAUAACUUCAGGAAACUGGGGCUAAUACCGGAUCGGAGCUCCUGCUGAAUGGUGGGGGUGGGAAAGUUUCUGCGGUUGGAGAUGGACUCGCGGCUUAUCAGCUUGUUGGUGGGGUAGUGGCUUAUCAAGGGUUUGACGGGUAGGCGGCCUGGGAGGGUGACCGGCGACAAGGGGACUGAGAUACGGCCCAGACUGCUACGGGAGGCAGCAGUGGCGAAUAUUGCACAGUGGGCGGAAGCCUGAGGCAGCAGCGCCGCGGGCGGGAUGACGGCCUGCUGGUUGUAAACCGCGUGCGCCUGUGACGAAGCGUGAGUGACGGUAAUGGGUAAAGAAGCACCGGCUAACUACGUG
rnacentral:rRNA from 1 species